rnacentral:tRNA from 1 species
GGGGCUAUAGCUCAGUUGGUAGAGCGUCUUGUUCGCAACGAGAAGGCCACCGGUUCGAUCCCGGUUAGCUCCA